rnacentral:rRNA from 1 species
GGGAUAACACUUGGAAACAGGUGCUAAUACCGUAUAACACUAUUUUCCGCAUGGAAGAAAGUUGAAAGGCGCUUUUGCGUCACUGAUGGAUGGACCGCGGUGCAUUAGCUAGUUGGUGAGGUAACGGCUCACCAAGGCCACGAUGCAUAGCCGACCUGAGAGGGUGAUCGGCCACACUGGGACUGAGACACGGCCCAGACUCCUACGGGAGGCAGCAGUAGGGAAUCUUCGGCAAUGGACGAAAGUCUGACCGAGCAACGCCGCGUGAGUGAAGAAGGUUUUCGGAUCGUAAAACUCUGUUGUUAGAGAAGAACAAGGAUGAGAGUAAAAUGUUCAUCCCUUGACGGUAUCUAACCAGAAAGCCACGGCUAACUACGUGCCAGCAGCCGCGGUAAUACGUAGGUGGCAAGCGUUGUCCGGAUUUAUUGGGCGUAAAGCGAGCGCAGGCGGUUUCUUAAGUCUGAUGUGAAAGCCCCCGGCUCGACCGGGGAGGGUCAUUGGAAACUGGGAGACUUAAGUGCAGAAGAGGAGAGUGGAAUUCCAUGUGUAGCGGUGAAAUGCGUAGAUAUAUGGAGGAACACCAGUGGCGAAGGCGGCUCUCUGGUCUGUAACUGACGCUGAGGCUCGAAAGCGUGGGGAGCGAACAGGAUUAGAUACCCUGGUAGUCCACGCCGUAAACGAUGAGUGAUAAGUGUUGGAGGGUUUCCGCCCUUCAGUGCUGCAGCA